rnacentral:misc_RNA from 1 species
ACACCUGUGCACCCAUCGUAGGUCUUCGAAAGAAGAUCUAUGUCUUUUAUAACACUGCUUUGUAUGGCCAUAGAAUGUAAAAAUCUAUUACAACUUUCAGCAACGGAUCUCUUGGUUCUCGCAUCGAUGAAGAACGCAGCGAAUUGCGAUAAGUAAUGUGAAUUGCAGAUUUCCAGUGAAUCAUCGAAUCUUUGAACGCACCUUGCGCUCCUUGGUAUUCCGAGGAGCAUGCCUGUUUGAGUGUCAUUAAAUUCUCAACCAUGUCUUGAUCGAUUUCGAGCAACAUGGCUUGGAUUUGGGAGUUGCUGGCGACGAAAGUCGUCGGCUCUCCUUAAAUGCAUUAGCAAAGGGUUCUGCAAAGCAAUUCAAUUCAGACGUGCACGGCCUUUUGACGUGAUAAUGAUCGUCAUCGCUGGA